AGAGACGGCGCGGUUGCUAAGGCAGGGCCAGCUGGCAGAGGCGAUCGGAGCCUAGUUCCGAAGGAUAAAAGACUGAAGUAUUCAAAGACUAGCCUCAACAUGAUAAAAGUUUAGAUUGAUGCAUCCCGCACAGAGGAAGGAAAGGUGUAUUAUACUCAGGCAUGAAAUAUUUACCUAGCGCAUCAAUUUAAAAGCAAGAACAGAAUGUUCUACAACUUGAUGAUAUAAAAUUACGCACAUCAUGGUAUACAAAGCAAGGCAUUUAUUUUGGAGAUUCCUCAUAUUGUAUUCUAUUGUGUUUAUAUUAAAGCCUUUAUAGAAACAUUCAAGACUGUAUUUGUAAUUGUUAUUCCAUGUAAUAAAUGUUGAACAUCAAAGGAAACAAAAAA